rnacentral:lncRNA from 1 species
GAUCCUGUUAUGGGUGUAUAAAUUGAAACAAUUUUCUACACAUGUUGAUCCUCAUAUAUCUCUAAUCUCCUUCGAUAGUUAGCUUGCAUGGAAACAGGCAAGAAUAUUCAGAUACUGUCCUUAACAUUUCUGGUGGUGAUCUUUCUAUUGUUUCCUCGGAGUAGUCAUAGCCAGCCAGGGGUACUUCCUCCGGCCGGCCCGCUUUGUUCCUCCCAGUAUGUCCUCCUCAACUACGCCUGCUCCAGGCUCCCAUUUUCGCCGAGACCACCGUCCCUCAAUUCCGCCUCCGUCGAGUCUUCUCCACCUCCUGAUGACGAGGAGCAAGAAGACCUUUAUUAUUCCCAUCAGCACAGCGGUGGACACCACCAGACACCAGAACAGCAAGAAUGUUGCAGGUGGUUGAGAGAGAUGAGUGUUGAGUGUGUCUGUGACUUGUUGAUUCACUUGCCCGCUUUUCUCACUCGAGCCUCCCAUGAUUACACCGUUAUUGUUGAUGAAUCAUGUGCCAUCACUUUUGCAUGUCCUGGCCGAUUAAUUAUACGAUCAUGAUAUCAUUCAUCGUGCCAGCUAAAGCCAUGCAUCAACCUUAAUUUCAUUAUAUACCCAAUUAUUAUCUGUAUGUUCAUUUACUUUAUACACACACACACAUAUAUAUAUAUAUGCUAAUUAAUAAUUCAUCUUCCCACUAUCAUCAGCUUAUUUCUGUGUCCUAAUUAAAUUUUUAGUUGUGUUGUUCAUCCUCUUCUUUGAUUCUAUAGUCACUGCAAUUUUGUCUUUGGUAUUACUUUUUAUGUAUAUUUUGACCCGACUUCAAAUCAUCUUGGAUAUUGAUGUCUAUACAUCAUAAAUAAAAUUGUAUUUACUUUGCUAGACAUAUUAAAUUUGAAGCAACCAUUUCUCCUCUAGCAAAAUAGUCUUCCUCCUCAACUUUGAGACUCGCACUAAGCGAAAAUACCACAUCAUCAUUGUUGCAUGUCAACAACGUGUCAUUUUUCCGAAACAUGUAAGUUGAAUCUUCGUCUUACCCCAAGCCCAAAAGCCCUCACGAAUUGGAGAGGAACAUCGUGUAAAAACCUGAGCCAUCUUGUCAUCAUACUUUUAAAAGAGUUUUGAUUGCCGUAAAUGCUUUCAAUCGUUAGUAACUCAUUCUUAUAAGUCUCAUAACUUUAUGAUUAAUAACUCUGAGAACUUUUGGCAAAGCAUGAUGUUUCUGCAGGUUAUUAUACGAAAUUAUUACAAGCGUACAUUUUCUCUUAAUAAUUCGCUAGUUUUAUGAAAUGUAAAACAUUAUUCUUAUUUUCUCAAUGACUUUGGAGGGAAGUGAUAAAUUGAUUGACUCGAAGUUAGGGAUUAUAUGGAGUUUAUGGUUACAUAACCCAUAGCCAGUCUCCUCCCCUAGGGACUCCUUGCUUACCUCCCGUAGUAAUACGAGGGCUGCCUUCCUCUCUGUCCACCACCAGUAUCCCUAUGAAAGCCUCUUUUUUCUUUCAAAAACUCAUAAACUCAAAUGAAAUUAGAUAAUUCGAGAAAUGAAACUAGCUUAAAGGGGAGGAAGUGCUUCACGGGUGUGGAGCACGACUUCCACUCUCUUUAAACCUUCAGAUAUUGAUAUUAUGCACGAGUUUUCGACUCUUUAGCGAGCACGUCUGGCGUACACAAGUGCUCUCUCCUAAAUCAUCCAAAUUGAAUUUCUUCAACUUCAAAUUCCUCCAAUCUCUACAUUGUUUCACUUACGGGCCCACUCAUAAAUUCUCCUAUUCGACCAUAAAUUCAAAUUUUAAAAAUACUUUUACUUUAAUUACUUUUAAACUUAUAGUAAAAACUACAAUUAUUACUAAACACGCUUUUAUUUACAUUCAAUUAAUAGAAAUUUAAAAUAAAUAUGUUAGCCAUGAAAUUAAACUUUAAAAAUAUAACAAUAUUGAGGUAGAUGGAAUUUGUCAAUAAAAUUACUUACAAUUCCAAUCGAACCCACGAGAGAAUAUUUUCUAAAAGUCGUUAAAAACACAACAAAAGAAGAAUUUAAGAAAAAAAAAUAAAAAAUAAAAAUAAAAAUAAAAAUAAAAGGAAUAAUUGAGGUCACAAUUUGGUUAAUACUAGUCGGUUUCAUGUCGCUCCAUUCUCAUAAUUCCUUAUCUCCAACACUUUUGUCUGCCUUAAGAUGCAUAUAUACAUCCAAAAAAAAAUGUCUAUAUAUAUAUAUAUAUAUACUGGACCACAACAUAUAUACAUAUACACAUACACAUACACACAUGCAUAGAGUUGAAUAUGGUAUUAAAUCAUUUCAUUACAUGCAUCGACCAUGUUCUAAUUAGCUAGCUAGUAGUCAUUGACAUUAUAACAAAACUUAAUUUCAUUGAAAAUAAUGGAUGCAUAUGUACAUAUAUGAUUCAUAUGUGUGUGUGUGUGUGUGUAUAUAUUUUUUAUAAUUCUCCUAUAAAAUUAUGUUCUUGUCAUGUCACGGUACUUAAUAAAGUAAAUAAAAUCAUUAAAAGGGAUGCUUGAACAUUAAAAUUUUGAUAGUUUGAACAUUAAAAUGGAAUGGUAAUUUGAGAAAAGGAAUAAUUCUAAUUCAAUUUAUAUUUUAUUUCUGCAAAACGCGGGCGGGUCCAUUGACAUUCCAUAUUCUUUUGUGUGUAUAUAUGUACAUGUGCGUACACCUAUACAUAUAUAUAUGUGUGUAUGUAUAUGUGCGUAUGGGAUAUAUCAUACUAUAUAUAUAUAUAUAUUGUUGGAAUCGAGUGACUAUGAAAAGACAAUACUUGUUGCAAAUUGUUGUUUGGGCUCUUAUUCUUCUCUCUUUCAUUCCCAUUUACAUCAAAACAAUAUCAGAAAACAUAAAAUAUGAAUUAAAUAAAUAAAUUAUUAAUAUUCAUAUUCUAAAUUUUUUUCCUUCAAAAAUCUUGAGUUUUUUCAAAGUUGACAAAAAAUUUGAUCGUCUUAUUACAAAUUAAAUGUCAUAUUUCAAAAUGAUACUGUAAACAUGAAAUACAUAUAUAUAUAUAUAUAUAUAUAUAUGCGUGUGUGUGUGUGUGUGUGUGUAUGUAUUGGUAUAGAUUCUUUGUUAUGGCAAUGAUAUGGCUGCUUUGAGAAUGAAAAACAGGUGAGGAGCAGAGAAUGGAGGGACACCGUGGAUGGGAGAGUGGACACGUGUUAAGGGUUCUAAAGGGUAAAAGCCACAUAGAUGGGUGACGUUGCUUUUCCGGACACGUGUCUAAUAACGAUUGGUGAGCUUGUAGGGUGACGUGGCGUGGGUCUUUCUCUGCGUGGACGGGUUUCUACUUUCUAUGUUAGUGUAGUUUUGACGGACACGUGUCCAAUAACGAUUAGUGAGAUUAUGGUGACGUGGCAUGGGUGUUUUUCUGCGGGCACGGGUUUCUACUUUUUGUAUGUUAGUGUUGCUUUUCCAACUGUACGGCCACUAUCUUCACCACUCUAUUUUCUAUCCGACGGACAAGAUCAACAUGGAAAAGCAUUAUUAUAUAUAUAUAUAUAUAUAUGUAUAUGUAUCAUACUUAAGUGUGCCCAAGAAAGAAAGAAAAAGAAGAGAAAGA